rnacentral:pre_miRNA from 1 species
AAUAAAUACAGUUUUAUAUUGUUUUUGUUUAACUUUUAAUCAUUUAUCUUAUUUAAAAUUUUUUUAUUAUUAGUAUUUUUAUUGUUAUUAGAUGAUAAAACAUAAAUAGUACUUUAUGUGUGAUUAAUUUUUUUUCAAAUUUUUUAUAAAUUUUUUAAAUAAGACAAACGGUCAAACGUCGGACACGGGUUCCCCAUGCACUUUUU